CUGCUGCCUCCCGUAGGAGUUUGGACCGUGUCUCAGUUCCAAUGUGGGGGACCUUCCUCUCAGAACCCCUACGCAUCGUCGGCUUGGUGGGCCGUUGCCCCACCAACUACCUAAUGCGCCGCAUGCCCAUCCAUGACCGGGGUCGCCCCCUUUGACCGGCAGGGGAUGUCCCCUCCCGGCAUUAUGUUGUAUUAGGCGGGAUUUCUCCCGGUUAUCCAUCUGUCACGGCCAGGUUGCAUACGUGUUACUCACCCGUGCGCCGGUCGCCGG
rnacentral:rRNA from 1 species